rnacentral:rRNA from 1 species
CCUACGGGAGGCAGCAGUGAGGAAUAUUGGUCAAUGGGCGAGAGCCUGAACCAGCCAAGUCGCGUGAGGGAGUACUGCCCUAUGGGUUGUAAACCUCUUUUGUCGGGGAGCAAAAGCCGGACGUGUCCGGCUGUGAGAGUACCCGAAGAAAAAGCAUCGGCUAACUCCGUGCCAGCAGCCGCGGUAAUACGGAGGAUGCGAGCGUUAUCCGGAUUUAUUGGGUUUAAAGGGUGCGCAGGCGGGUUUUUAAGUCAGCGGUAAAAUCGUGGGGCUCAACCCCAUCCAGCCGGUGAAACUGGGGAUCUAGAGUGUGCGAGAGGUAUGCGGAAUGCGUGGUGUAGCGGUGAAAUGCAUAGAUAUCACGCAGAACCCCGAUUGCGAAGGCAGCAUACCGGUGCACAACUGACGCUCAGGCACGAAAGCGUGGGUAUCGAACAGGAUUAGAUACCCUGGUAGUC